AGCCCGCCCUCCCUCUGAGAGUGUAUAACUGUGCUUCAGUAAGCUUUGUUUCGAGCUUGCAUUUUAGUGUUAGUUUGCUCACUAUCACAAAAACCGAGACUGCUGAUCUAGACCUCCAGCUCUGUUGAUCUCCUUGGCUGAAGGGUCCAUCCCAACUCAGGACCCCCGAAUGUCCUGUAUCAUUUUAAUGACUGUGGAGUGUGACUUUGUUCUCAGCAUAAUGAGUAACAAAGCCAAAACACUGGAGAAUACGUUUAUGUAUUCAAGAAAACCUCAGACAGGGCAGAAUGCUUUCAUAACACAGUACAUUCAAACCAGACGAAGCCUCGAAGGGCAGAAUCACCGACCCUGAAAAAUCUCAAGCUGGAAAUCAGAGUGUACUACAGUAGAAGACAACAGCAUUUGAGCACAUUUGUUGAAGCAGCCUCCUCUCCCUUACGGUACGAUAAUCCCACACUGUUUUACCAUGCUCUCUGGCCUUCCCAGAACAUCAGUAAAAACUGCAUCCCCUGA